UACGUAGGGACCGAGCGUUGUCCGGAAUCAUUGGGCGUAAAGAGCGUGUAGGCGGCCUGUUAAGUCUUGCGUGAAAUCUCGGGGCUCAACCCCGAGCGGUCGUGAGAAACUGGCAGGCUAGAGUGCGGGAGAGGAGAGUGGAAUUCCUGGUGUAGCGGUGAAAUGCGCAGAUAUCAGGAAGAACACCCGUGGCGAAGGCGGCUCUCUGGAACGGUACUGACGCUGAGACGCGAAAGCGUGGGGAGCGAACAGG
rnacentral:rRNA from 1 species